rnacentral:lncRNA from 1 species
GACUGAUUGAAUGCUGGUGUACAAUAUGCCAGACAUCACAUUGUGGAGGAAAACAAAGUAUGAAUCAUUGAUAUCGCAAUUCCAGGUGACAGUAGAAUUGAUGAAAAAUGACUGGAAAAAGGCUCACUAGAUAUGAAGACUUGAAAAUUGAACUUCAGUGGCUCUGGCAUAAACCAAUAAAGGUGGUCACAGUGGUUCUCAACACACUGGGUGAAGUGUCAAAAGACCUCAGCAGGCACUUGAAAACGAUUGGUAUUGAUAAAAUAUCCAUCUGCCAAUUUCAAAAAGCCACUUUACUAGGAUCUGCUUGCAUAAUCCAAAGAUACAUCACUCAGUCCUAAACACCUGGGAAAUGUUUGACUAGUGAUUAUUAAUACGAAUUCCAGCAUAAGUUACUC